GUCAUCCGAUAAAAAUGUUAUUUUUUCCCUAAAUGUUAUGUUUCUUGGCACACAAAUGAAGUUGAUGUGAUGCAAAAGAAAACAAUAUGUUGGGCGUGUGUUCAUGCUAAUAGUAUCAGGUUUAUGGGGACCUGUAUUCAAUGCUAAGUGGUUAUAAGUGAGGGAGGCAAUGGGCACGCUUAUGUUGUAGACCUGAUUCCCUUAUUUGGAAUAUCAUUAUAUCAUCCACCAAGUUGACCCUUGUUAGAUGAUGACUUUUCUCCACCAUCCAGCUUUUAACAUUCAAACUUCAAUUUCAGGUCAGCAAAUGGUUCAAGAAUG
rnacentral:misc_RNA from 1 species